rnacentral:rRNA from 1 species
UACGUAGGGGGCAAGCGUUGUCCGGAAUUAUUGGGCGUAAAGAGCGUGUAGGCGGUCCGGUAAGUCAGCUGUGAAAGUCAAGGGCUCAACCCUUGAAUGCCGGUUGAUACUGUCGGGCUAGAGUCCGGAAGAGGCGAGUGGAAUUCCUGGUGUAGCGGUGAAAUGCGCAGAUAUCAGGAGGAACACCGAUGGCGAAGGCAAUCCCCUGGACCUGUACUGACGCUCAUGCACGAAAGCGUGGGGAGCAAACAGG